CUUCGUUACUAAUACGCGAACGCCUUUUUCGACCAGUGACCAAGCCCAAAUCGUCCGUGCGAGAUUCCGCGACGUGACCGUCCAUUAGGCUUGUAUAUUCGUCCGCCGAAUCGACUAUCCGAAGGCAUUCUUGUUGCUACAUGAAAAAGAAUUUCUGUAAAAGAUGUUGCAAAAUAUGGUGCUGUAACCCCGGAUGCUUUUCCAGAUAAACCCAAGUGCGAAAACAAAAGACGGCAGUGAUGAAACGGCGCUGGAGGAGGACGACAUGGUGGUGGACUUAUUGCUGAUGCACACAUACUAAAAAAAAACAUUAUCAUAUGAAUAAAUUUAAAUAUUAUAAAUGUUA